AAGCAGGGGAUCGUAAGACCUUGCGCUUUUGGAGCGGCCGAUGUCUGAUUAGCUAGUUGGUGGGGUAAUGGCCUACCAAGGCUACGAUCAGUAGCUGGUCUGAGAGGACGGCCAGCCACACUGGGACUGAGACACGGCCCAGACUCCUACGGGAGGCAGCAGUGGGGAAUUUUGGACAAUGGGCGCAAGCCUGAUCCAGCCAUGCCGCGUGAGUGAAGAAGGCCUUCGGGUUGUAAAGCUCUUUCAGCCGGGAAGAAAAGGUUGCGACAAAUAAUCGCAAUUCAUGACGGUACCGAGAGAAGAAGCACCGGCUAACUACGUGCCAGCAGCCGCGGUAAUACGUAGGGUGCGAGCGUUAAUCGGAAUUACUGGGCGUAAAGGGUGCGCAGGCGGUUUUGUAAGUCAGAUGUGAAAUCCCCGGGCUUAACCUGGGAACUGCGUUUGAAACUACAAGGCUUAG
rnacentral:rRNA from 1 species